UGGGGAAUUUUGCACAAUGGGGGAAACCCUGAUGCAGCGACGCCGCGUGAUUUAGAAGGCCUUCGGGUUGUAAAAAUCUUUUCUAUGGGAAGAAAAUGACAGUACCAUAGGAAUAAGGACCGGCUAAUUACGUGCCAGCAGCCGCGGUAAUACGUAAGGUCCGAGCGUUGUCCGGAAUCAUUGGGCGUAAAGGGUACGUAGGCGGGUAAGCAAGUUAGAAGUGAAAUCCUAUAGCUCAACUAUAGUAAGCUUUUAAAACUGCUCAUCUUGAGCUAUGGAAGGGAAAGUGGAAUUCCUAGUGUAGCGGUGAAAUGCGCAGAUAUUAGGAGGAGUACCGGUGGCGAAGGCGACUUUCUGGCCAUAACCUGACGCUGAGGUACAAAAGCGUGGGUAGCAAACAGG
rnacentral:rRNA from 1 species